UCCUUCCCCGCCAAAAUGGAAAUUUUCAUCCCAAAAUUGAAAAUUUCAUGAACAAUCAGCCUCAUCGAGUCUCAGAAUCCAGAAUCCAUCCCAAACUUCCCUCCAGAAUCCAUCCGCAUCCCCAUCCAAGACCUCCCCUUCGAGUACCUCGCCCGCCGGCGCCGGCGCCUCCGUCACCUACGACCGCGACGACUCCACCAAGGAGUCCACAAACCCUAAGUCCCACAACCCUAACGCUAAUCCUAGCACGACCCGAUCCGGGUCCCAGCGCUACGCCAACGCGAAUCUUAAAGCUAACGGCCCCAUCAUCGGCCUUCCCAACAAUCAGCCUCAUCGAGUUGGGAGUCGGCGUCACAUGAGCUCCGACAACUUCCGGCGGUUCCUCGUCGAGUCUCAGGGCAACGGCGGCGUCUCCGGCGAGGAGGCCGAUCGGAUCUUCGAUCAGACCCGGCAGCAACGGCAGCGCCACAUCAUCGGGAAGUUGGCGAGAUCCAUGAUCGCUGUUGAGGAUUUUCAUCAUUACUUGUUCGAUGAGGAGCUCAAUCCCCCGCUCAAAUCUCAGGUGAAGUUAGGGUUGAAGAACUUGAGUAGAUUUGAUUUUGAUCAGUGCGUUUAGGGAUAAUUAUGGUAGUAGUUGUGGUUAUAACAAGCCUGCAUAGAGAUGGUAACCUUCUUCUUAUUGGUAGCCAUCAAAGAGUAAAGGUACACUUCAGAUUUAUGCUUUGAUUUUUUAGCAAGCUUAAUAAUGCACUCUGAUGGAAUUUAUUGGUGAUUUUGUACGCUAAAACAAUAAUCUUUUGUCAAUGAGAAAGAGGAGUUCCUGAUGAAAGCUAAGUUUUUGGAAGAAAGUUCGGUCUUCUUUUUAGUAGACAGUGUGAUGCAAUUUUGGGUGUGAAGCUCUAGUUUUCUAUUAGAUGUGAAACCUUAAAAAAAAAAGAAUGUUGUGUAGCCUUAUUCCAUAUGAAGCUUUUGAUCUAGGCGGAAGUCAAAAUCCUAAUAUUUUCUAUCUUCUUAUUUCCUGUUGUGUCUUCAUCAAAUAUGAAUUGCUUUCCAAAUUAUUUUCAAGCACUAGUUAUCAUUCAAUUUUCCUGUUGUUACUCAAUAUAUCUUGAGAUUUGUUGUAGAAAAACAUUGCUUUGUACAUAAUGUUUUGAUUAUGGCAGACUGUGAUCUUAAGGGUUUCUACGCAUUGCAAUGGUUGUGAAAGAAAAGUGAAGAAGCACAUCAAGAAGAUGGAAUAUCUUUUGUUAAGGUGUGGCCGAUAUUCAAUUCAACGCAAUCGAGGGAUUUUCAGAAGAUUGUGCAAGGUAUUAUAAGUGAGCUGGAGUUGCAAGGGGAGCUGCUGAGGAGUAAUUCUAGGUUUCUUCUCUUGCCACCUGUUGCGGGAUGAGGUUAGAAGUUUAGUUAAUUUGAUUUAGUUUCCAAUUUUGCCAUCAGAAAUGUGGUAAUUUAGUUCUUUUUUAAUCCAUAAGUGGGAUGCUUAAACAUAUCAAUGAAGUGAUAAGCUCAUCUCUUGUCUGUGGAUGGACUAAAAAUGGGAAAUUUGUUUUCAAUUCCUUUCCCUUGUAGAGACUGUAGCCUGUGGAUAAUAACUCUGCUUCAGAAAGAUUUAGUGAAAUUUAUCCAAAUGAUUAUGACUAAUUAUGGAGAAUGUGUGGUAUGAAAUCCUGUUAAAGGCAAUAUACUUGAUUAUCAGAAUAAUAUCAUUUGGAAUCCUCGAGAUGACUUAUGGGCUGUCAGGUUGUCAUAACCCUUUUUUAGGAGGUUGGGCAUGCAUAUUAUUAUAAUAAGUGGUUAGUCAAUCUACAUAUCUUUUAGGCUUUUAUGUAUGUGUACGUUAGCUUUGCUGCAAGCUAAUGGACUUUUGCUAGUGUUUAAGAAUUUUUUUUUCAUGUUAUGUGUUGUUCAUAUCUGUUUUUGUUUUGUUGUUCUGAACUUAGAAACAGAAUCUGAGAAAGUCUGUUAAUUCCUUAAAUCUUUAAGAAAAAGCCUGUUGACCAAGACAUGUAUACUUGAUGCGAAUAAAGAAGAGUCAUAAAUGGUUACCUGUCUUAAGUAGUUUAACGUCGUUUCUUAUUUACUCAUUAAGAUGUGCACGUUUUGUUCGUUCAAUAAAACAAGGUUUGUGUAUGAUAUUUAACUGAAGUGUGAGUAUUUGUAUUGUACUGACGACAGAGACUGAGGUUAGUUAUGCUGUAACAUCAUGAAAGAUUAGAAGCAUAAAGCUUGAUUGUGCAGGCAGCAUCAAUUUGAUGUACUGAUAUUAAUGACUACUGGAAGUAUUAAGUUUCUGUUUGUUUUUAGGACAUUAUGAGCAGCUUCAAAGAGCUUUUCUCAAGGGAAACAAAAAUGUCUUGCUACUUCCUAUCUGUUUGAUUUGUGAUUCUUGAAAAAAAUAUUUGAUGAAUCUGAUGAGGCGUAUGCAUAAAUGCUAUACAGGUCAAGUGGUUCUUUCUGUACUUCAAUGUGAUUUGCUGUAAUUUGACACCUUCAUGAUGAUUAAGGUUCUCAUUAGAUUAAAUUAUUGAGAUGUUUCACCUUCACUAAGCUUCUUUUUUUCUAGGUUGUCAUUCAAGUUGCUUGGCAAUUUAUUUUAUUCUGGUCUACCUCGGCCUCGACAUCUGAGAUCAUCAACUCCGAUACAUUUAUGUGUUUGUUUAAGUAGUCGUUUUUUGCUCACCAUCUUUUAUAUUAUGGAUCUGUUUGUACAUAUAUUGAUGCAUUGCUUGUGUCCUUAUGUUACACUCAAGAUGAUGAUGAAGAAGGUGAAGAAGGAGAAGAAGAGGGCUUGAGAAAAUGUAUAGGGAAGGAGUUGAAAAAGCUUCUGCAGUGUCAUAGCCAUUGUAAAUAAUUUAUGUAAAAGUUUGUAAACAAUUUAUGUAUCUCUCUACUAUUCUGGUGAAUGUAUUA